UCAAGGAACGUUGCUUUACAUCUCCGGAAAUUGGAAUUAGUGCUAGUGCUGUCGUCUCAAUCCAGCAUCUACGGCAUGUGCUUGCUGCAAACUACGGGGGACAUCAGUCGAAGUUCUUUAUCGUUCAACAGUGCUACUUUUGAUUAUCCAAUGUCCCGGUAAGAUGUUUAAUAUUAUUAUAUCAUUAUUACAUUACUAUAUUUAGUUGCGUGUAACGAGAUACCGUAAUCGUCGUAAGUCUAAAUUGUUGCUUUAGAAUGUGGGUUUCACUGUUUUUCUCAGCUCGCAUUGUUUUUUUGCAUUCAAAAUUCUGUAGUCGCGUUGAUACUUUUAUUAGUUUGAAAAUUAAUUAAAGUCUUGAAAUGUAGGGGAAAGUAGCAUAAUUUGGACCAGCGCCUAAGUUGGACCACCACGAUAUCCGCGGACUGUUGAAGUUUAUGCAAAAAUUAACUGGCCCCUUGUUUUACUCGUAUUUAUAAACAAUUAAUGCAACUAUUUGGGUUAAAACUUGCCGCGUGCUUUCGUCGUGACAACAACUUCGUGUAUCAUUGAUUAUCAAAUCUAUUAUAACGACGUAAGUGCAAGAGCUGUCAAGCCGUUAAAACGUUUGUUUUACCGAUUAUUAUUUUAUCAUCAGAAAGCUUCUUUAUUUAUCUAUAAUUUAUAGUAUUAAUUUUGAGAGGUUAUGUUAUAUUAAGAUUGUUGUUGAUCAUUAUAUAUAAAUUCUUCAAGUUGCCCAAGUUGGACCGAAGACAGACACCGGAGUUUUACAGGAAAAACGUAUAUCAUUUUUUCGACCUCCUAGAAAAGCUUGUGGACGAGCACAAAUCUUCGAAAUGAUCCACUGUAUGAAAUGCCGCACUUUGGUUUAUACAAAAUGUGCUUGUGUUACUGCUAAAACUAAAAUUUACUAUUGUGUCAAUUGCCGUUAAAAAAGCAUGGUCCAAUUUAGGAAACCGCGCGGUCCAAUUUAGGAAACCGGUUUCUUAAUUUGGACCAAAAACACAAUUUUUUUAAAUUGAAAUUUGAGGGGUAUAAAUAUAAUUUUUACUUAAACCAAAAAUAUCAUUUUGUUGGUAAGCCUUGUGAGUUACUUUUCCGCUACUUAAUUUUUAUUGACAGUUUAUAUGUGGCUCUAUAAAUCAAAAAAUAUAAAAAUGGUCCAAAUAUGGCUACUUUCCCCUAUGUAUAUCGUCAUUUUAAUAUCUUGUCGCGGGGUUGUGUGCGGUGCAGUCGGCUGGCACUUCGCGUCACAAAGUAAAUCUCAAUAUGUAGGUAAUAUAAUUCAUUAUGGUGUUUUAUUUAUAUAAAAGAUAUCUUUUUUAAUACUGUCAUUUCCUUUUUGUAACAUCCUGUAUGUUUGCUUCCCUUGGUCAAACAAGAAUUUAUAAAAUUUGUUGUUUUUGUAUGUUUUCCACUUUAUUGUGAAAUUUUCUUUUUAUACCUUGUCAUUUUUCUAAUGUAUCACACUGUAUAUUUAGUUUUUUUGAUUUCCAGUCAAUAAUUGACUACAUUUGUGGUUUCCUGAUGUAUUACUCUGAAUCGUAGAAUAAUAUUUUUAAAUGUAGUAAUUUUUCUUCUGUAUCACCCUGUAUACUAGUUUUCCUUGUUUUCUUAUCAGGCACUGACCGAGUUUGUUGUCCUGAUGUUUUCUUUUUUGAACUGUAUAUUUUCUCUCUGUAUCACUCGGUAUAUUAUUUAAUAACCAUCCUGGUUAAAGUGGGAAAAGUUUAUUGUUGCAACGUACUGUUUUUUUAAUAAUUGGUUUUCUUUUUGCAACACCCUGUAUAUUAGUUGCAUGUAUUUAUUGCUAUUUCUUAAUUCGAAUGUGUGCGAAUAUGCAGGUCGUAAGCAUCUCUUUAUGCAUUUUCUUGUUAUGAUUUCUUUUCUCCUCUUAUUUUUCCGAUUUUAAUACUUUAUCUUUCAGCGAAUAUUUAUAUUAGGCGCUGUAUUGUGAACACCAAUUAUUUAAUUAACUAAGGUAUACAGUAAACUUUUACGAAGGCUCAAUCAUAUUACACCCCAAAGCCAAUAAAUUCUUUUCGUAUGCCGAGAAGUAGUGAAAGUAAAAGUAAAUUUCGUGUAUGUGUAUUUCAACAUUGUGAAUUUUUAGUUUCGUCUUCUCAACUACGUGUUUAUCAGUACGUUUGGGUAUAAACAACUUUUUUUGUUCGACUGACGCGUGAUACCGCUGCAUACCUGCCUUGUACCCGGCUACGCGCAGCGCACACGGCAGUUGUUUCACCGCGUGGUCCGCGAGCGUGUCUCUCUAAUCGCCAUGCGUUUUGUGGUUUUAAUUGGAUUAAUUGUCGUGUACUCUUUCGGCCAUCGGCAAAAUAUUCGCAAUGGGCAUGUGUGCCUGUUUUGUUUAAUGAUUUAUGGCGGUUAGAGUCUUCUUAGGUGAGAAAUAAGUGCCCGUUAAUCCCUGCGCGUGUGUCAGUUGAUAGAAUAUAUUACAGGAUAGAAAAUCUCCUGAUCAAUGCACAGGUAUGUGGAUAAUUACAAUUUUUUGCGGAAAGUUAUACGGUUUAACUUAAAUUGAUUAUUUAGUUUGAGGGAUAUUAAUUUUGUAGCUUACAAACAGGUGGUGCAAAUUUUAAUCAGAAUUCUUCUUAGUCACGUUUCCGAAAAUAACAUGCUUGAUUUAAUUAUUACUAGCACGGUUUUUAAAAUUAUCUGAGGAUUAUUAAAAUGACAAUAUUCAUGUGGUCGACCACGCUUACUUUGCCGUCGGCCGUCGGCCGUCGGUUCGGUCAUGUUUUUGAUGAUCACGGAAACAUUUUUAAUCGAAUUGCAUCAUUAAAUUAAUAAUUUCUGGUUGAAAAAAAAUCUUGAACGGUGAAUAGUUUUUCGUUUUCGCAGUCUAAGUAUAUCUUAAUAUUUACAAAGAAAUAGUUAUUUUUAUCAUCUUUAACCACUUUGUUGCUACGCGCCGUCAUUUGCCGUCUGUUGAUUUAGAUUUUAGAUGUUUUCUGCCGGAUAUUCUAUCAAUUUAUGAUGAUGUGACAACCCGGCGGUUACCUUAUACAGUUUAUGCUACCAUCAAUUAAUAAAUAUAUAUAUUCACAAUAUAUUAUAAUGUAAGUGUUUUAUUUUUGUAGCACUCUAUUGCUCAAUUUUCCGAUAUUUUUCGGGUAAAAACUCUGAUUUUAUAUUAACAUAUUGUUGUUAAUUUCUUCUUGAAUUAGUAUGAUAGAUAAUUAUGUAUUAAUUAUCCGUGCUCUCUAAUGUAAAACUGACUAAAUUUAUCGUUUCCGGGUCGUUUUCUAUUUAAAAUUUGAAUUUUAUUUUUAAAUGUAGAAAUUUCCUAUUUGUAACACCCUGUGUGUUGAUUUUCCUGAUUUCCUAUUAUAGGUUUUCUAAAUUUGUGAUUCCCGAGUGUUUUCUUUUUUGAACUAUUGAUUUUCUUUUUGUAACACCCUAUAUAUUUGUUUUCCUUAAUUUUCUAUCAAAAACUGUCUAUAUUUAGUGUUUCCUUUUAUUUUCCUUCUUGAACUUGGCAUUUUCUUUUGUGAUGUAGUAAUUUCCUUUUUGUAACACUCUGUAUAUUAGUUUUCUUAACCGCAAGUAGAAAAUGACCUUUAGUUUUGAGUUUUCUCUGUUUUGAACUUGGAAUUUUCUUUCUAGAACACCCUGUAUAUAUGUUUUCCUUUGUGUCCGUGAAAACUUUGCUUUAGCUGAUGUUUUUAGUAUUUUCCCCUUUGCACCUUGAAUUUUCUUUCUGGAACACCUUGUAUAUUAAUUUCCCUGAUCGCCUAGUGAAAACGAGCGGCGUUUGUAGUGUUGAGAGUUUUAUUUUUGCACUUUAAAUUUUCCUUUUGUAACACCCUGUAUAUUUGUUUCCAUUUUCAAUCACCUAGAAAAUUGGCUAUUUACUAAUUUCAUUAUUGCGGUAGAACUUUAUGAAGUAGUACUUGCUGGCAUGUGCGCGGCUAUGCAGGUCGUUCAAUAUGGAGACAUGUAUUCUGUUGAGUUGUAAAAUAUAAAUUUGUAUUCUAUUGUUAAUAAAGAAAUAGCAGGA